rnacentral:rRNA from 1 species
CCACGAGACACGUGAAACCUUGUGGGAAGCAGGGAGGACCACCUCCCAAGGCUAAAUACUACCUGAUGACCGAUAGUGAAGCAGUACCGUGAGGGAAAGGUGAAAAGAACCCCGGGAGGGGAGUGAAAUAGAACCUGAAACCGUGUGCCUACAACCGCUCAGAGCCCCUUAUGAGGGUGAUGAGGUGCUUUUUGUAGAACGAGCCAACGAGUUACGGUAUGUAGCAAGGUUAAGUACUUAAGGUACGGAGCCGAAGGGAAACCGAGUCUGAAUAGGGCGACUAGUUGCAUGCCGUAGACCCGAAACCGGGUGACCUAUCCAUGGCCAGGUUGAAGCGAGGGUAAAACCUCGUGGAGGACCGAACCACGUUGCUGUUGAAAAAGCAUGGGAUGAGCUGUGGAUAGCGGAGAAAUUCCAAUCGAACCCGGAGAUAGCUGGUUCUCUCCGAAAUAGCUUUAGGGCUAGCGUCGAGUAUGAGUAGUGGAGGUAGAGCACUGAAUGGGCUAGGGGGCAUAGCGCUUACCGAACCUUAUCAAACUCCGAAUGCCACAUACUUUGAGCUCGGCAGUCAGACUACGAAUGAUAAGAUCCGUGGUCAAAAGGGAAACAGCCCAGAUCGUCAGCUAAGGUCCCAAAGUGUAAGUUAAGUGGGAAAGGAUGUGAGAUUUCUAAGACAACUAGGAUGUUGGCUUAGAAGCAGCCAUUCAUUAAAAGAGUGCGUAAUAGCUCACUAGUCGAGAGAUCUUGCGCCGAAAAUGUAACGGGGCUAAACUUACC